rnacentral:rRNA from 1 species
GGGGGAAUCUUAGACAAUGGGCGCAAGCCUGAUCUAGCCAUGCCGCGUGUGUGAUGAAGGUCUUAGGAUCGUAAAGCACUUUCGCCAGGGAUGAUAAUGACAGUACCUGGUAAAGAAACCCCGGCUAACUCCGUGCCAGCAGCCGCGGUAAUACGGAGGGGGUUAGCGUUGUUCGGAAUUACUGGGCGUAAAGCGUACGUAGGCGGAUUGGAAAGUUGGGGGUGAAAUCCCAGGGCUCAACCCUGGAACUGCCUCCAAAACUAUCAGUCUAGAGUUCGAGAGAGGUGAGUGGAAUUCCAAGUGUAGAGGUGAAAUUCGUAGAUAUUUGGAGGAACACCAGUGGCGAAGGCGGCUCACUGGCUUCGAUACUGACGCUGAGGUACGAAAGUGUGGGGAGCAAAACA